UACGUAGGGCGCAAGCGUUGUCCGGAAUUAUUGGGCGUAAAGAGCUCGUAGGCGGUUUGUCGCGUCUGCUGUGAAAGCCCGGGGCUCAACCCCGGGUCUGCAGUGGGUACGGGCAGACUAGAGUGCAGUAGGGGAGACUGGAAUUCCUGGUGUAGCGGUGAAAUGCGCAGAUAUCAGGAGGAACACCGAUGGCGAAGGCAGGUCUCUGGGCAUUAACUGACGCUGAGGAGCGAAAGCAUGGGGAGCGAACAGG
rnacentral:rRNA from 1 species